rnacentral:rRNA from 1 species
AACGAACGCUGGCGGCAUGCCUAACACAUGCAAGUCGAACGGGAUCCUGACUUCGGUCAGGUGAGAGUGGCGGACGGGUGAGUAACGCGUGGGAACCUGCCCAGUGGUGGGGGAUAACUGCGGGAAACUGCAGCUAAUACCGCAUGAGCCCGAGAGGGGAAAGAUUUAUCGCCAUUGGAGGGGCCCGCGUUCGAUUAGGUAGUUGGUGAGGUAACGGCUCACCAAGCCUUCGAUCGAUAGCUGGUCUGAGAGGAUGA